rnacentral:rRNA from 1 species
GACGAACGCUGGCGGCGUGCGUAACACAUGCAAGUCGAACGAGAGAGUGAGAGAAGCUUGCUUUUCUUACGAUCGAGUGGCAAACGGGUGAGUAACGCGUAAACAACCUGCCCCGCAGAUGGGGACAACAGCUGGAAACGGCUGCUAAUACCGAAUACGGUCCUCUUAGCGCAUGGUAAGAGGAAGAAAGGGUGGCCUCUGGAACAAGCUACCGCUGUGGGAGGGGUUUGCGUCUGAUUAGCUGGUUGGAGGGGUAACGGCCCACCAAGGCGACGAUCAGUAGCCGGUCUGAGAGGAUGAACGGCCACAUUGGAACUGAGACACGGUCCAGACUCCUACGGGAGGCAGCAGUGGGGAAUCUUCCGCAAUGGGCGAAAGCCUGACGGAGCAACGCCGCGUGAGUGAAGACGGCCUUCGGGUUGUAAAGCUCUGUUAUAGGGGACGAACGGCCGGGUAGCGAAGAGGUACCCGGC